rnacentral:rRNA from 1 species
UUCCUACGGGAGGCAGCAGUGGGGAAUAUUGGACAAUGGGCGCAAGCCUGAUCCAGCAAUGCCGCGUGAGUGAUGGAGGCCUUCGGGUUGUAAAGCUCUUUCGCACGCGACGAUGAUGACGGUAGCGUGAGAAGAAGCCCCGGCUAACUUCGUGCCAGCA